UAAUUUAUCUUUUAAUUAAGAUUAUUAGAAAUUUAUUUUUUAGUUAUGAUUGGGGUGAUUUUAAAACAUAAGUAAUCUUUAAAAUUUUUUAAUAAAAAAGUUCCAUUAGUAGUGAUUUUUUGAUAAAAAUACUCUAGGGAUAACAGCGUUAUUAUUUUGGAUAGUUCAUAUAGAUAAAAUAGUUUGCGACCUCGAUGUUGGAUUAGGAUUCUUUUAUGAUGAAGAAGUUAUAAGGGAGAAGUUUGCUCAACUUUUAAAGUCCUACUUGAUCUGAGUUCAGACCGGG
rnacentral:rRNA from 1 species